rnacentral:rRNA from 1 species
GAUGAACGCUGGCGGCGUGCCUAAUACAUGCAAGUCGAGCGAACAGAUGAGGAGCUUGCUCCUCUGACGUUAGCGGCGGACGGGUGAGUAACACGUGGAUAACCUACCUAUAAGACUGGGAUAACUUCGGGAAACCGGAGCUAAUACCGGAUAAUAUAUUGAACCGCAUGGUUCAAUAGUGAAAAACGGUUUUGCUGUCACUUAUAGAUGGAUCCGCGCCGCAUUAGCUAGUUGGUAAGGUAACGGCUUACCAAGGCAACGAUGCGUAGCCGACCUGAGAGGGUGAUCGGCCACACUGGAACUGAGACACGGUCCAGACUCCUACGGGGGCAGCAGUAGGGAAUCUUCCGCAAUGGGCGAAAGCCUGACGGAGCAACGCCGCGUGAGUGAUGAAGGUCUUCGGAUCGUAAAACUCUGUUAUUAGGGAAGAACAAAUGUGUAAGUAACUAUGCACGUCUUGACGGUACCUAAUCAGAAAGCCACGGCUAACUACGUG